AAUAUAUUCUAGGCAUAGAUUCCCUAGCAGUUGGCUUCAGGCCUAACCUGGCCUUAGAAGAGACAUUACAAUUCAUUUUCUACCUUCUUCUGUUUAGCUAUAUGUUAUAUGUUGAAGGAACAUAAAACAACAUAAAUGAUGCUACUGAAAAUAUAUUUAAUAUAAUGAUGAUAUGAUUCAUUUCUUUCUGUCCUAGUUACCCAUACAAAGAACUACAUAUAUACUAGAACAAUGAAUUAUUUCUGUUUGGCAGGAAAUGUUAUUUUUUUAAACAAGUAAGUUAAAGUAUCGAUUGCUUGUUAGAAAAAUGAAACUUGAAAACCAGUGUAAUCUCCAAAAAACAGCAAAAAUGCUAUGGGACAUAUAAUAGCUGUUAAGUAUUAACUCGAUAAAACCAUAUUUUACUAAAAUAUUUUAUUGUAAUAAGAUUCACUAUGCUCAAAAUCAAUACAAAGUAAGUUAUAAUUAUUUACAUACAAAUAAGUGAAACUAUGUACAGUAGUUAAUAAUAGCUGAGUAAACAGCAUCAACACAA
rnacentral:lncRNA from 1 species